UUAACUCAACCGGACUAAGCGUAUGUCUCGCAACCGAAAGGUCGUGGGAUCGAUUCCC
rnacentral:tRNA from 1 species